AGUGAACGCUGGCGGUAGGCCUAACACAUGCAAGUCGAACGGCAGCACAGUAAGAGCUUGCUCUUACGGGUGGCGAGUGGCGGACGGGUGAGGAAUACAUCGGAAUCUACUUUUUCGUGGGGGAUAACGUAGGGAAACUUACGCUAAUACCGCAUACGACAUACGGGUGAAAGCAGGGGAUCUUCGGACCUUGCGCGAUUGAAUGAGCCGAUGUCGGAUUAGCUAGUUGGCGGGGUAAAGGCCCACCAAGGCGACGAUCCGUAGCUGGUCUGAGAGGAUGAUCAGCCACACUGGAACUGAGACACGGUCCAGACUCCUACGGGAGGCAGCAGUGGGGAAUAUUGGACAAUGGGCGCAAGCCUGAUCCAGCCAUCCCGCGUGGGUGAAGAAGGCCUUCGGGUUGUAAAGCCCUUUUGUUGGGAAAGAAAAGCAGCAGGUUAAUACCCCGCUGUUCUGACGGUACCCAAAGAAUAAGCACCGGCUAACUUCGUG
rnacentral:rRNA from 1 species